GAUGAACGCUGGCGGCGUGCCUAAUACAUGCAAGUCGAGCGAACAGACGAGGAGCUUGCUCCUCUGACGUUAGCGGCGGACGGGUGAGUAACACGUGGAUAACCUACCUAUAAGACUGGGAUAACUUCGGGAAACCGGAGCUAAUACCGGAUAAUAUAUUGAACCGCAUGGUUCAAUAGUGAAAGACGGUUUUGCUGUCACUUAUAGAUGGAUCCGCGCCGCAUUAGCUAGUUGGUAAGGUAACGGCUUACCAAGGCGACGAUGCGUAGCCGACCUGAGAGAGUGAUCGGCCACACUGGAACUGAGACACGGUCCAGACUCCUACGGGAGGCCGCAGCAGGGAAUCUUCCGCAAUGGGCGAAAGCCUGACGGAGCAACGCCGCGUGAGCGAUGAAGGUCUUCGGAUCGUAAAACCCUGUUAUUAGGGAAGAACAAAUGUGUAAGUAACUAUGCACGUAUUGACGGUACCUACUCAGAAAGCCACGGCUAACUACGUG
rnacentral:rRNA from 1 species